GUCUGGUCACAGCCUUGAUCCUUCUAUCUUCAUCCUCCUCGUUGCCCUCACACAGCCCCCCCCCCCCCUUCUUCUUGCUUGACCUCCCCCCAGAAUUAAGGAGGCUUCUUUAAGAAGCAGCACUAUGUUUACUAGCAUAAGAAAAGCCAUUGGCAUUUAGGCGUUUUGCUACAAAGCCCUGAAAAUGGAGGAGCGCGGAAUGCCAUAUACGGCAGCUCUGUGCCCUGGCUGUCUCUUCACAUCUAUUUAUGCUCGCGCCUGCAUGAAAUGUGGACUUGUAAAUGGAGCCAUGAGUGCAUCCAGCCGUCCCUCCCUCCCCACGCACCUCGGCCUGCGGAGGUCUCCAGUUGCUUCUCGAGACACGCAGGGAUGAGCCCAUGUGCGGGUUUCCCGAGGACUACUGGAGUCCGGGAGAAAAACGGAGGAUCACUUCUGCGACACAUCCAUGGACAUCGCCUAUUUACACUCUCGCUCCUUGCAAUUAAAGAGACGUGGAUCACCCUCACCCCCUCUCCAACACACACCUCCCAGAGAAUUCAUUGCCAAGCUCUAGCUAUGAAAUACGCGACUGAAUAAAAGAAGCAAGCCCAGAAAUAAUCCAGGUUUUAUAGCGAAGCAACAAUUUGUCCUCC